rnacentral:rRNA from 1 species
UACGUAGGCAGCGAGCGUUGUUCGGAAUUACUGGGCGUAAAGAGUGUGUAGGCGGUGCUCUAAGUUCGGUGUGAAAUCUCCCGGCUUAACUGGGAGGGUGCGGCGAAAACUGGAAUGCUAGAGGAUGGGAGAGGUAAGCGGAAUUCCUGGUGUAGCGGUGAAAUGCGUAGAUAUCAGGAGGAACACCUGUGGUGUAGACAGCUUACUGGACCAUUUCUGACGCUGAGACACGAAAGCGUGGGUAGCGAACAGG